rnacentral:tRNA from 2 species
UCUAAUGUGGCAGAUUAGUGCGUUGGAUUUAAGCCCCAUUUAUAAAGGUCCCUUUCUUUAGAA